rnacentral:rRNA from 1 species
GAUGAACGCUGGCGGCGUGCUUAACACAUGCAAGUCGAGCGGAGCGGCGGACGGGUGAGUAAUGCCUAGGAAUCUGCCUGGUAGUGGGGGAUAACGUCCGGAAACGGGCGCUAAUACCGCAUAAUAUCAGAUGAGCCUAGGUCGGAUUAGCUAGUUGGUGGGGUAAAGGCCUACCAAGGCGACGAUCCGUAACUGGUCUGAGAGGAUGAUCAGUCACACUGGAACUGAGAAACGGUCCAGACUCCUAAGAGAGGCAGCAGUGGGGAAUAUUGGACAAUGGGCGAAAGCCUGAUCCAGCCAUGCCGCGUGUGUGAAGAAGGGCUUCGGAUUGUAAAGCACUUUAAGUUGGGAGGCGUUACCCGCAGAAGAAGCACCGGCUAACUCCGUGCCAGCAGCCGCGGUAAUAC